GCGAGUCUGGCCGAGUGGUUAAGGCGUUGUGUUUAGGUCCUCCAUUAGGAAACGCUUAAACCGCAAUGGGCAUGCCCGCGUAGGUUCGAUCCCUACGGCUCGCA